rnacentral:rRNA from 1 species
AGUUCGAUCAUGGCUCAGAUUGAACGCUGGCGGGAUGCUUUAUACAUGCAAGUCGAACGGCAGCACGGACUUCGGUCUGGUGGCGAGUGGCGAACGGGUGAGUAAUGUAUCGGAACGUGCCUAGUAGCGGGGAUAACUACGCGAAAGCGGUAGCUAAUACCGCAUACGCCCUUCGGGGGAAAGCGGGGACCUUCGGGCCUCGCACUAUUAGAGCGGCCGAUAUCGGAUUAGCUAGUUGGUGGGGUAAACGGCUCACCAAGGCGACGAUCCGUGGCUGGUUUGAGAGGACGACCAGCCACACUGGGACUGGAGACACGGCCCAGACUCCUACGGAGGCAGCAGUGGGGAAUUUUGGACAAUGGGGAAACUCCUGAUCCAGCCAUCAUCCCGCGUGUGCGAUGAAGGCCUUCGGGUUGUAAAGCACUUUGGCAGGAAAGAGACGGCAUCGAUAAUACCCCGUGCAACUGACGGUACCUGCAGAAUAAGCACCGGCUAACUACGUGCCAGCAGCCGCGGUAAUACGUAGGGUGCAAGCGUUAAUCGGAAUUACUGGGCGUAAAGCGUGCGUGCAGGCGGUUCGGAAAGAAAGAUGUGAAAUCCCAGAGCUUAACUUUGGAACUGCAUUUAACUACCGAGCUAGAGUGUGUCAGAGGGAGGUGGAAUUCGCGUGUAGCAGUGGAAUGCGUAGAUAUGCGGAGGAACACCGAUGGCGAAGGCAGCCUCUCUGGGAUAACACUGACGCUCAUGCACGAAAAGCGUGGGGAGCAAACAGGAUUAGAUAAUUCCGGUAGUCCACGCCCUAAACGAUGUCAACUAGCUGUUGGGGCCUUCAGCCUUUGGUAGCGCAACUAACGCGUGAAGUUGACCGCCUGGGGAGUAAUGAAUGCAAGAUUAAAAACUCAAAGGAAUUGACGGGGACCCGCACAAGCGGUGGAUGAUGUGGAUUAAUUCGAUGCAACGCGAAAACCUUACCUACCCUUGACAUGUCUGAAUCCCGAAGAGAUUUGGGAGUGCUCGCAAGAGAACCGGAACACAGGUGCUGCAUGGCUGUCGUCAGCUCGUGUCGUGAGAUGUUGGGUUAAGUCCCGCAACGAGCGGCAACCCUUGUCAUUAGUUGCUACGAAAGGGCACCUUAAUGACUGCCGGUGACAAACUGGAGGAAGGUGGGGAUGACGUCAAGUCCUCAUGGCCCUUAUGGGUAGGGCUUCACACGUCAUACAAUGGUCGGGACAGAGGGUCGCCAACCCGCGAGGGGGAGCCAAUCCGAAACCCGACUGCAAUCGAUCGCAGUCUGCCAGAACUCCGACUGCGUGAAGUCGGGAUCAUAGUAACCGCGGACCAGCAUGUGGCGCGGUGAACACGUUCUGGUCUGUAACCAUCCAACACCGCUCGCUGGAGUGGUUUACCAGAAGUAGUUGAAACAACCGGUAGAGGCGACAACACGGCAGGACUACACUCAAAGUGGUGUCGCACAGUAAAAUACCUGCUGACGCCAUCUGGGAUAUUCCUGGUGGAGCAGCAUGUACUGAAUCGG